UUUUUUUUAGUAUUUUCUUUAGGCUUUAUUUAUUUUAUAUUAUUUAAGUUUAUUUUUAUUUUUUUUUUAGAGUUUAUGAUGUUAUAAUAGCUUACUUGUAUUCAAGUCAAUGUGAACAUAUCAUUUCUAUUUAAGAGAAGUUGAUUCUAAUUAGUUACAAUCUUAUUAUCACCAUGGUUGACAUUUAUAUAUCAAAUGUUAAAUGUAACUGUCGUGAUGGUACUUAGUUAAGUACUACAGCUGAAAUACAAGUGGAUUUUAAGCGUAACACCAGUAGCCAAGAUAUUUAUUGUCAAAUAUGAGAUACAUAAAAAACAACACUUAUCACUAGUGUAAUAAUAGGCCAGUUCAUAUAUUGUUACUUGUACCAGGAGUGUAAUAAUACAAAUAAAUUGCAAAUUGAUGCGAACUAUUACCUACAACUUGGAGGUUCUUCUGCAUUUCUUCUUUUAACACAGUAGAAUGUCAAUUAUCACGUUAAUUGGGAAUGGGGUAUGUUUGGAUAAUGGAUCUUCUGAAUAACCAAAUGCAAAAUAUUAUAUAUGGUCUAUUUCACCAACAAUAUAAAAAAAUUCAUAUUGAGCAUUAUACAUAGUUGCCUACCAUUAUUGAGAGAAAUAAUUGCUUAUCUUUUGCUACAUCUCAGCAAGACUACUUGCAUACUCUACUGUAAAAAAAAAAACAGUCCGGAUAUAUAAUUUUAUGGAUAACUGACAUCCAAAUAAACAAUGUUUCACUGUACAUUUCGAUCUAUCUAUCUGUAAAUAAGGGCUAGUUUUAGGUUUACUUUUUCAGACAAUGAUUUUAUUUAUUCUUUUGAUUUU